rnacentral:rRNA from 1 species
ACGUAGGUGGCGAGCGUUGUCCGGAAUUACUGGGUGUAAAGGGUGCGUAGGCGGAUUUGCAAGUCAGACGUGAAAACUAUCGGCUUAACCGGUAGCCUGCGUUUGAAACUGUGAGUCUUGAGUGGUGAAGAGGUAAGCGGAAUUCCUAGUGUUGUGUUGAAGGGAGUCGAUAUUAGGCGGAACCACAGUGGCGUGGGCGGCAGACUGGGUACUAUCUGACCAUGUUGCACCUUACCAUGGGGAGCAAAAAG